ACAGGUCUGUCGGGAGUCCGGUGCGUAACGCGUAAUGGGACGGUUUUUAUCCUUGCUGACAUUUUGGCCACCGACCAAUGUAUGUCAGGUUGAUACCGCUUCACGCUGUCUACGAUUUUAAGGCCUAGUAACAGAAGUGCUCAUUUUUGUCACGUCCCUGGCAGCCUGCAUCAUGGAUCGCCAUGACCAGUCUUGUUUCCAGCCAGCAUGAAGCUGAAGCUGGUCUGCUGCUGCUGGACAGGAGGUCUCCCUCUGCUGGUGAGGACAGAAACCUGCUGCCGACAUGGAAAGAUGAGAUGAUCACUACAUAAUAGCCGUGCCGGGAAAAGAUGCUGAAGUGAGGCUGGUGCAGGGUGUCCUGCCAGAAUCCACAUGACCCGUACCACCCAUUAUGAAGAGUCCCAAACUGUGCUGUAAUUAUGAGAUCUCCUCUGUGACCUCCUCCUCACCCUCUGCCUGACUCACUGAGGGGGAACAAACUGGGGAAAAAAAGACAAAUGUACAAUACGGAGACUUUAAUGAUCAAGUGGCUCUCACCAGCAGUGGUUUCUUUGGCAGCAGCUCCUGAACGUCUCCCCCCGCGGCUCGGAGUCUCCUCCAAUUUCUCAGCUUCUUUAGGUUGGUCCCUCUCCACCUCCUCGGUGGUUUUGGAUGAUCGACCCCUGCGUGGUGUUCUGACUUCUGCAGCCUUCUCCUGCUCCGGUUCCUGAAGAUCCAUCUGAUCCUGAGAGUCCUCUGUCUUCACUUCUAACGCCUGGACCUCUGAUGCCAGCUCGUCUGCCUCCUCCUGUGUCCUUCCAUCAUGGUGGCUGUCUCCUUCUUCGACAAUGCUCAUGUCCUGCUCAC